rnacentral:rRNA from 1 species
UACGUAGGGGGCGAGCGUUAUCCGGAUUCAUUGGGCGUAAAGCGCGCGUAGGCGGCCGCCUAGGCGGAACCUCUAACCCCGGGGCUCAACCUCGGGCCGGGUUCCGGACUGGGCGGCUCGAGUGCGGUAGAGGAGAGCGGAAUUCCCGGUGUAGCGGUGGAAUGCGCAGAUAUCGGGAAGAACACCGAUGGCGAAGGCAGCUCUCUGGGCCGUCACUGACGCUGAGGCGCGAAAGCUGGGGGAGCGAACAGG